GUCCAGAUAGCUCAGUUGGUUAGACCAUGGUGCUGAUAAUGCCAAGGUUGCGAGUUUGCUCCCCAUAUGGGACA